rnacentral:tRNA from 1 species
GCCCCCAUCGUCUAGCGGUCUAGGACACAGCCCUUUCAAGGCUGCGACAAGGGUUCGAACCCCUUUGGGGGCG